UACGAAGGGGGCUAGCGUUGCUCGGAAUUACUGGGCGUAAAGGGCGCGUAGGCGGCGUGGUAAGUCACUUGUGAAAUCUCUGAGCUUAACUCAGAACGGCCAAGUGAUACUGCUGUGCUAGAGUGCAGAAGGGGCAAUCGGAAUUCUUGGUGUAGCGGUGAAAUGCGUAGAUAUCAAGAGGAACACCUGAGGUGAAGACGGGUUGCUGGGCUGACACUGACGCUGAGGCGCGAAAGCUGGGGGAGCAAACGGG
rnacentral:rRNA from 1 species